rnacentral:rRNA from 1 species
GGUGAGAAGCUUGCUUCUCACCGGCGACGAGUGGCGAACGGGUGAGUAAUACAUCGGAACGUGUCCGCUCGUGGGGGACAACCAGCCGAAAGGUUGGCUAAUACCGCAUGAGUUCUACGGAAGAAAGAGGGGGACCCGCAAGGGCCUCUCGCGAGCGGAGCGGCCGAUGACUGAUUAGCCGGUUGGUGAGGUAACGGCUCACCAAAGCAACGAUCAGUAGCUGGUCUGAGAGGACGACCAGCCACACUGGGACUGAGACACGGCCCAGACUCCUACGGGAGGCAGCAGUGGGGAAUUUUGGACAAUGGGCGCAAGCCUGAUCCAGCUAUUCCGCGUGUGGGAUGAAGGCCCUCGGGUUGUAAACCACUUUUGUAGAGAACGAAAAGACACCUUUUAAAAAAGGGUGUUGCUGACGGUACUCUAAGAAUAAGCACCGGCUAACUACGUGCCAGCAGCCGCGGUAAUACGUAGGGUGCGAGCGUUAAUCGGAAUUACUGGGCGUAAAGGGUGCGCAGGCGGUUGAGUAAGACAGAUGUGAAAUCCCCGAGCUUAACUCGGGAAUGGCAUAUGUGACUGCUCGACUAGAGUGUGUCAGAGGGAGGUGGAAUUCCACGUGUAGCAGUGAAAUGCGUAGAUAUGUGGAAGAACACCGAUGGCGAAGGCAGCCUCCUGGGACAUAACUGACGCUCAGGCACGAAA